AAGCUGUGAAGAUAAUUACGCUUUCAGUGAUGGUGGGUCCAUCACUCAAUCAUCCUCCCGGAUGACAAUAAGCGUUACUGAGCUU